CUUCAGUCGUGGAGGCAGUCGGCUGCUGCGCUUUGGUCAUCUGGGCGGGGUUUCUCCUGUCUUCUUAAGUUGUACCCAACUAUAGGAAGCCGCAUUUCAU
rnacentral:lncRNA from 1 species